AAAGGAAAACGAACGGUGUUGAUAAGCACAAAGCCAAAAAGCUUCUCCAUUUUCUUCUCCAGCGUCAGAUUUCCUAAAAUCAAUUCUCCAAUAAAAUUUUAUAACCAAUCCAAAAUAUUUCGGUUUCUCUCUCCGCGCCAAAUACAAAAGAACCACUUUCUUCUUCUUUCUCUCUAUAUAUUUUUCCAGAUCAUCAUGGCGGAAGCUCCGACGAGUCCAGCUGGCGGGAGCCCCGAUAGUGGAGGGGAGCAUAGCCCGCGUGGAAGUGGCGUGCGAGAGCAGGAUCGGUACCUCCCGAUCGCCAACAUCAGCCGCAUCAUGAAGAAGGCCUUACCUGCUAAUGGUAAGAUCGCCAAGGACGCUAAAGAUACCGUACAAGAAUGCGUCUCUGAAUUCAUCAGUUUCAUCACCAGCGAGGCGAGUGAUAAGUGCCAAAAGGAGAAGAGAAAGACGAUAAAUGGCGAUGAUUUGUUAUGGGCAAUGGCUACGUUGGGUUUUGAGGACUAUAUCGAACCGCUUAAGACUUACCUGGCAAGAUACAGGGAGGUAAAUCUUGAAUCUUUGCUUCUGAUUUCUUUUUUCUUUUACUGAACUGAAUUAUUAUGAUCGAUUCCUGUUUGGCUAUGAAUUGAAUUAAUGCUUAAAAUUUGAAUUUGAUUACUUUGUGUUUUGUUGACGUGAAGACUAAAGAAAAUGAAUAAUAGCAAACUUUUUUUUUGUAUUUUACUCGAAGUCAUAUUUGAGGUUAAUAAUAUCAAAACCUUAGCCAUUUAUGAACAAACUUAAUCGUAGAAGGGGGAAUUCAGGUUGUCUUUAUGUAGAAUUUGAAAAUUGAAGAAGUUUGUUUUUCCCCCUUAUGAAUCACGGCUGCAACUUAUCACUUUUAUGUGUAAUUAUUUAUUUUCUUCAUAAUGAAUUCUCUUUUUUUUUUUGGUUGUAAAUUUAACUCUUAACAUUUCCUUUCUUAUUUUAUUGAUGGGGCUGAUUUUGUUGGGGUGAUUGCACUGUGGCAGUUGGAGGGAGACACCAAAGGAUCUGGCAGGGGUGGUGAUGGUUCUGGAAAAAGAGAUGGACUGGGAGCUGGACCUGGUCAAAAUCCCCAGUAUGUUCACCAGGGAUCAUUGAACUACAUAAAUUCCCAAGGGGGCCCUUUAUGGUAGACAACCAUUAGUUUUCAGUCAGAUUCUGGUUCAGUGAUUUGUCUACUAGAAAAUCUAUUUUCAAAUUCUAGAUGAGGGCUGAGGCCACUUCCAUUUGUAGUUGCUUUGCUUUUUCCCAAGCCUCAUCUAAUUUUUGUAAUGGUCCUCUUGUAAUUAAAUUAAUAGUAAUAAAGUUCAAACCUCUGUUUCCUUCCAGAUGUUACGUGUAUAGGUAGCCAUUUGCAAAAUUUGUUAUUGAAGGUUUAGAUCUAAGAGCAUCUCUAAUGGAAUGCCAAAAAGGUGGAGCAUUGUUAUAUUUACCACAUUUUAACAAAAGUAUCACUCCAAUAAUUUUCUAAAAAAUGUCAAAUUUGGAACAUGCGCGAAAAGUUGUGCCAAAUUUGGUACAAGAUAUAACAUGAGCCAAUUUUAGCACAACAAUAAAUAUAAUUUUUUAUUUACUAUAUUGCUAUUAAUUUAUUAAUCAACAAUUAAUGACUAACCAUAUUUUUUUUAUAUUUACUUUUUUACAAUAAAAAAUAUGAAAAAAAAAAGAUUAUUUUUUUUGUAUAUUAUCAAUAAAUAUUAAAUGAAUUGUUCGGUUUAUUACUUAAUUUGCAUCUUGUGAAUAUUGAGCCAAAUAUAGCAUUUAUCUAUUUUUUGUGUCAAAUUUGACACAAAAUUUACAUCUUGUAUUAGAGAUAGUCUAAACUAUCUAUAAUAUAACUGCUGUUAUAAAAUGGAUGAAAAUUUUUGAGCACAACCAACAGUGAUAAUGUGCUUAUGCCUUUUACUUAUUAGAACGAGUGUCUAUCACGGGUUGAAUUAGUCUCCAAUAAAAACUAAAUUCUUUUUAUCUGUAAUACUUGUCAAAUGUUUACUUUGCUGUAUUGAUUCUGUUUAUGCAUCAUGCUUUGAGGUCACAAGUACAAAUAUUUUAUCCGUAACUUGAAAAUCAAAAUUUCUUUAAAACUACCGAAAGAUACAUGGAGAAGGUAUACUUUCUUAGGAUUUUAUAUGUUUUGUGACAACAUGUUACAUGUCACAAUGAAUAGAUUUAUAACAUUGGCUUGUUUUUUUCUUUUGCUAUUGUGGUGCAGGGUCAGCAUAUGGUCGUUCCCUCCAUGCAAGGCAAUGAGUAGGACACUUGAGCUUUUCAUUU